CCGUCCCGGAAGCUGCGGCGAGCCUGCGUCUCCCGGGGGUCGGCCUGAGACGCCGCAGCUCGUGGGCUACACUGCGGUGACGCUCGGAGGCUCGCUCGGGGAUGGGCGCUUCCUUCCGAGGGUGGGCGGGGACACCGUGGGCCCCUGCAGCCUGGACGCCGGGCCGGUCCUGCGGUUCCGCGCGGGCCCACCCUCCCUGGCUCCCUCGCCGCCACGCCCGGAGUGCCCCGCGCCGUGCAGGGAAGCGGGCCGGGCUUGAGCCCCUCUUCACGACCGCCCUCGCCUUCACACCCUCCGGACGAAGGAGCACGUGCUUCAUGUUGCUGUUUUAAAGGCAGAGCUAGAGCGCGCUCUGCUGAGGGGCUCGGGAGACAGACGCUGUCCUUCCGGGGCGUCGGCGGACCCCGUGCGCGGCUCGGCGGGAGGCGCCGGCCCCCGCUGGGUCCCCCCGUUUCGCUGUGGCUGCAUUCUGUGCAAAUGCACGUUAUGCACGGGUGAAAUGAGAAGACAUCUUUUGCAGCAGCUCUCCGCGAGUGUAAUGAGAGACUGAUAAAUGUUAAUAAAGACGCUCACAAAGCUCGUGAUCUAUGACAUAAUAUAAAGCUCAUUCGCACAUGAAGUUGUCAAAGCCACGAAAAGACCUAGGGCAGCAGAAGCAGCGGCUGCGCCGUUUCUCCAGCUCCCUGAAGAGACACCUGUCUGCGAGGCACAGGCGAAAGGGCACGGGGAGCUCGGCCGAGGGCUGCAAGGUGCCGGUGAGGCUCUGACGGUUACGGCCCGGGGGGACCACGGCAGAGGACCCUUCUCGCCCGGUCCCUCCGUGUCUGCCCACUGGGUGGAGCUCGUGGCCCACAGUUGUCUCAGGAGGAGGCGCUGGACCCAGAAUUGUCUGAGGGCUAAGGAUUUAGCAUUACUCACAAAUGAAAGGAGACCUUCCGGAUUUGGAGAAAGAAAAAGGAAAUCUUCAGCGCCGCAGCAAAAUCAGACAUGAAAGGAGACGGCUGUAGCCUGGCAAAUAAGAAAAUAAACAAGUGCAUGAAAGGGACGUUUUCCUUUUAAA